AUGGGGCCCUAUGGGGUCUAUGGGUCUCUAUGGGUCCCUAUGGGGUCCCUAUGGGUCUCUAUGGGGUCUAUAGGGCUCUAUGGGGGCCGGUAUGGGGUUAUAUGGGGUAAUAUGGGAUCUAUGGGGCAUCUAUGGGGUCCUAUGGGGUCUUAUGGGGCUCUAUGGGGUCUAUGGGUCCCUAUGGGGCUCUGUGUGGUCUCUAUGGGUCUCUAUGGGUCUCUAUGGGUCUCUAUGGGUCCCUAUGGGUCCCUAUGGGUCUCUAUGGGGCUCUAUGGGGUCCUAUGGGUCUCUAUGGGGUCUCUAUGGGGUUUCUAUGGGGUCUAUGGGGUCUCUAUGGGGCCCUAUGGGGUCUCUAUGGGGUUCUAUGGGGUCUCUAUGGGUUCCUAUGGGUCCCUAUGGACUGUUAUGGGGUGGCUAUGGGGUAUCUAUGUGUCUCUAUGGGGUCCUAUGGGGUCUAUAGGGCCCAAUGUGGGGUCCUAUGGGUCCCUAUGGGUCCCUAUGGGGUCUAUGGGUCCCUAUGGGUCCCUAUGGGGUCCCUAUGGGUUCUAUGGGGUCUCUAUGGGUCUCUAUGGGUCUCUAUGGGGUUUUAUGGGGCUCUGUGGGUCUCUAUGGGGCUCUAUGGGGUCUGUGGGGUCUCUAUGUGUCCCUGUGGGGCUCUAUGUGGGAUCUAUGGGGCUCUAUGGGGUCUGUGGGGCCCUAUGGGGUCUCUAUGGGGUCAUUUGGGUCUCUAUGGGGUCUCUAUGGGUCCCUAUGGGGCUCUAUGUGGGGUCUAUGGGGUCUCUAUGGGUUUCUAUGGGGUCCAUAUGGGGCUCAAUGUGGUUUAUGGGGUCCUAUGGUGUCUCUAUGGGGUCAAUUGAGUCUCUAUGGGUCUCUAUGGGGUCUCUAUGGGUCUCUGUGGGGUCCUAUGUGGUCUUAUGGGGCUCAAUGGAGUCUAUGGGGUCCUAUGGGUCUCUAUGGGGUCCUAUAAGGUUCUAUGGGGUCUAUGGGUCUCUAUGGGUCUCUGUGGGGUCCUAUGGGGUCUUAUGGGGCUCAAUGGGGUCCUAUGGGUCUCUAUGGGGUUCUAUGGGGCUCUAUAUGGUCCUAUGGGUCUCUAUGGUGCCCUAUGGGUCUCUAUGGGGUUUCUAUGGGGCUGACCCCCAUCUAUGGGGUUUCUAUUCCCUUACAGAGCUCAGAACACAGGGAAGGGUCCCCCCCCCCCAGCACCGAUGUUCGAGGGGGUUUAUAACAACUCCCGGAUGCUGCACUUCCUCACUGCUGUGGUGGGUUCUCGCUGUGCCGUCCGUGUUCGCAGCGGUUCCACCUUCGAGGGAAUCUUCAGGACGCUCAGCUCCAAGUUCGAGCUGGCCUUGGAGGCCGUCCAUUGACCCUAUUGACCCCCAUUAUGACCCUAUUGGCCCCAUUAUGACCCUAUUGACCCUAUUGGCCCUAUUGACCCCCAUUAUGACCCUAUUGGCCCCAUUCUGACCCUAUUGACCCUAUUGACCCCCAUUGAUCCCCAUUUACCCCCAUUAUGACCCUAUUGGCCCCAUUAUGACCCUAUUGACCCUAUUGACCCUAUAGGCCCCAUUCUGACCCUAUUAACCCUAUUGACCCCCAUUCUGACCCUAUUGGCCCCAUUAUGACCCUAUUAACCCCAUUGACCCCCAUUAUGACCCUAUUGGCCCCAUUAUGACCCUAUUGGCCCCAUUCUGACCCUAUUGGCCCCAUUAUGACCCUAUUGUCCCCAUUCUGACCCUAUUGGCCCCAUUAUGACCCUAUUGACCCCAUUCUGACCCUAUUGACCCCAUUCUGACCCUAUUGGCCCCAUU
ensembl:lncRNA